AACCUUGCAGCCCAUCUUCCCUGCCAGCUUGGGACUCCAGAACCCUGCCUUGUUGAGUCAGACACACUAACCUGCUGCAACACGGACCCAGGUCUGGUUCAUGCC